AUGACCUAUGAACUGACAGCCAGUCCUCCGGCCGUGCCUUGGCUGUCAGUUCUAUAGGGCACAG
rnacentral:pre_miRNA from 1 species